AUUGAACGCUGGCGGCAUGCCUUACACAUGCAAGUCGAACGGUAACGGGUCCUUCGGGAUGCCGACGAGUGGCGAACGGGUGAGUAAUAUAUCGGAACGUGCCCAGUAGUGGGGGAUAACUGCUCGAAAGAGCAGCUAAUACCGCAUACGACCUGAGGGUCAAAGGGGGGGAUCGCAAGACCUCUCGCUAUUGGCGCGUCGGAUAUCAGAUUAGCUAGUUGGUGGGUUAAAGGCCUACCAAGGCAACGAUCUGUAGUUGGUCUGAGAGGACGACCAGCCACACUGGGACUGAGACACGGCCCAGACUCCUACGGGAGGCAGCAGUGGGGAAUUUUGGACAAUGGGCGCAAGCCUGAUCCAGCAAUGCCGCGUGCAGGAAGAAGGCCUUCGGGUUGUAAACUGCUUUUGUCAGGGAAGAAAUCUUCUGGGCUAAUACCCCGGGAGGAUGACGGUACCUGAAGAAUAAGCACCGGCUAACUACGUGCCAGCCGCCGCCGUAA
rnacentral:rRNA from 1 species